CACGCAGGCGGUUUUUUAAGUCAGAUGUGAAAGGUACCGGCUCAACCGGUGACAUGCAUUUGAAACUGAAAGACUUGAGUAUUGGAGAGGCAAGUGGAAUUCCUAGUGUAGCGGUGAAAUGCGUAGAUAUUAGGAGGAACACCGGUGGCGAAGGCGGCUUGCUGGACAAAUACUGACGCUGAGGUGCGAAAGCGUGGGGAAGCAAACA
rnacentral:rRNA from 1 species